rnacentral:lncRNA from 1 species
AACACAGGAGCCCAGCAGGAGGCUCUGCAGACAGGCGGCGCCCCACAAGGAGAUUUUAAUUGUGUGUGGCUUGCUGGAUGCCAGGUAAACCCAGCACACAUGCCUUCUUUCAUUUAUUUUUCUGCCCAAGAACCAAUAAACACAGAGUUACUCCUGUACUGAGCUGAGUAAAAGAAGCUGACUGAGAGGAUACACUGGCCUCAGUUUCAACAAAUGCAUUUGGCACCAAGCCCUGCAAGGGCUCCACGGAGCAGCUUUGGGGGAGACCUGCCUCCAGGAACAUGUACCCCACCCGACACAUCCUGGGAGCCCCGUUUGGGCCCCUCAGCCAGUGGGCAGCACACAGCCACCCAAACACAAGAGGCCAGGACCAUGGACACCAGGGGGCACAGAGCCCAGGCCUCCGUGAUCCUAGGAACGUGCAGCGUCCGGGGACACAGAGAGGAAAGAUGGAGACGUGGGGCAGGAGGAAGCUGAGCAGGGACACAGGCCCCCCUCGCAUCACAGGCCUGCCUGGCCAGAAUGACCUGCAGCAAGGAGCCAGCCCCGCUGCUCCUGUCCCUGAAAAGCCCGGAGAGAGGGCUAGCAGGGAGGCUGGUGCUUGGGUCAAGAGAGGGGCUACUCAGUUCUUCCAGAACGUUCCAGUGUGGCCCAUGGACACCGGUCUUCUAGUGUCCAUUCCGUCCUGUGUCACUUCAGUUGAUGAGCUGCUUGAGACCAGAACGGCCCGAAUCCAGAACCGCCCACUACCUUCUGUGAGGCUGUGGCCAGAAAGCGAGCCAGACCUCUGAAGCUGCCUGGGCCCGUCCUGACCCAGGAGAGUCUGGCUGUGAAGGAGGGUAAAGGAGGAAGCCAGGCCUGGCACAGGGACAGGGUGGGGACCCAGUGAGAUCUCCAGGGAGGAAGCCAGGGCUCCCACACUGGGGCUGCUGUUCUCCAGGAGGAACUCCACCCAAGAAGAGUUUGGGAUUAUCGUGAGAGACAGGACUACAUUUGUGCACAGUGCAGAGCAUCAGGUACCGGCCGGGGGCCUCAGGCCCCAGGGAAGAGAGUCACCCUCAGGCCAACUAGGAAAGGUGAAAGGUGAAAGGUGAGUGCCCCUACGGCAGAAAGCAAAGCUGAGACAGCAUCGCCAGCUGAGGGAGAAACUGACAGAUGGCAGUUCACCAAAACCCAGAAACUGGUCAUUCUCUGGUCUUUAACAAACCAAAGUGUAUUUCUCUCUCUGAAAUAAGAAACACAGGACAAUUAUUAAGUUCCAAAAGUACGUUUCAUUUUGGAGGCACGUCACUGGUCCCCUUUGGAAUCAUGAACCUCUUGUGAGCGAAACACCUCCCACUGCUGAUUCUGACAAGGCGCCCGGGGCAGUUCCCCGCCCAGGUGGAGGCAGACAGGUGCAGAGCCACAGGGCCACCACUGCAGAUCCAGCCAUCUCUCCAACCCCAGGUGCACCCACGGUUAUCAGGGACCCGGCGCUGCCUCCCUGCACCCCUGCACCCACACGGCUCUCCACAGCAGCAAACGGGGUACAUUAGGGUGGACGGGAUGUGGAGCCAGGGCCCCGCUAGGGCUGGGGCAGCCUGUGGAGGGCCAGCACCAAGCAGUUCUGGGUUUGCAGGGCGGCCCUGUGUCAGCUGUUCGACACAUGGGGAGGCACCUCAGAUGGCUACAGGUUUGAUUGUGUCCCCACAAAACUUCAUAUGUUGAAGUCCUAACCCCCAGCACUGCCGAAUGUGACCGUAUUUGGAAAUGGAGAUAUCAAAGAUAUCAUUGGCUACAUUAAGAUAAGGUUAUAGUAGAGUAGGAGGACCCCUAGCUUAAUAGGACUGGUGUCCUUAUAAAAAGAAGGAAGCUGGACACAUCAGGGAGAACGCCAUAGGAGGACAGAGGCAGAGAUUGGGAUGAAGCUUCUCUAAGCCACGGAGGGCGGCCCGGAACCGACCCUUCCCUCACGGCCCUCGGAGGGCACUCACCCUGCCCACACCUUGACCUCAGACAUGUGGCCUCCAGAACCUGUGCAGUGAGUUGCUGCCGCCUGAGCCUCCCAGCCUGUGGUGCUUCCGUGUGGAAACCAAGCAAACUCCUCCAGGCACGUUCACAGCCGUUGGCAUGGGCCUCCGACACUGACCAGGGUCACCCGUCACCUCUGCCCCUUCCCACCACUCCCCAGCCCAGGUGCCACGCUGUAAAAACAGCCUCAAAAAGCACAUGAGACCCACAGCUCCUCCAGGAGACUAGGCCAGCCCCAAGCACAUCCAGAGAGGUGGCUCCUCCCUGGAGGCUCUUGCCAAAGCCGCCCGAGACAGCUGCCAUCCUCACUCGCUCAUCCUCGCCUGGAGCCUAAACCCUGACCAGCCAGCUCUACACAUUUAUGUCUUUUUCUGGCCUCACACACUGCCUAGAAUGUCCAGUCAAAUGUUGAGAAGUAGUGGUCAAAGCAGAAAGCCCAGCUUUAUCCCCAGUCUUAGCAGGUACGUGUUUGCUGUUUCACGUUAAGAUACUGGCUGGCAGCCGGGCGCGGUGGCUCAUACCUGUAAUCCCAGCACUUUGGGAGGCCGAGGCGGGCGGAUCACAAGGUCAAGGGAUCGAGACCAUCCUGGCCAACAUGGUGAAACCCCAUCUCUACUAAAAAUACAAAAAAUAGCUGGGCAUGGUGGAGGGCGCCUGUAGUCCCAGCUACUCUGGAGACUGAAGCCAGAGAAUCACGUGAACGUGGGAGGUGGAGGUUGCAGUGAGCCGAGAUCGCACCUACUCCAGCCUAGUGACAGAGUGAGGACUGUGUCUCAAAAAAAAAAAAGAUGCUGGCUGGAGGUUUUCACAGAUGCCCCUCAGCAGAUCUGGAGAGUUUCCUACUAUUCCCAGCUUUCUGAUGUUUUUUAAAAUCAUGAACGGGUGUCAAAGUGUGUCAAAUUCUUGUUCUGCCUCUAUUGAGGUAAUCAUAAGGGGUUAUUUUCUCCCUUACUUUGUUACUGUGGAGAGUGACACUGAUUGAUUUUGAAGGUUAAACUGAGCUAACUUUCCUGAAGAAACCCCACUUGGUCAUAAUGUAAUAUUGUGUAGAUAUUACUAAAAUUGGAUCUCAUUGGUUAAUACUUUAUUAGGCAUUUCUGC